rnacentral:rRNA from 1 species
UAGAGUUUGAUCAUGGCUCAGAGCGAACGCUGGCGGCAGGCCUAACACAUGCAAGUCGAGCGGCCGUAGCAAUACGGCAGCGGCAGACGGGAGAGUAACACGUGGGAACGCGCCCUUUGGUUCGGAAUAACUCAGGGAAACUUGAGCUAAUACCGGAUAAGCCCUUACGGGGAAAGAUUUAUCGCCAAAGGAACGGCCCGCGUCCGAUUAGCUAGUUGGUGAGGUAAUGGCUCACCAAGGCGACGAUCGGUAGCUGGUCUGAGAGGAUGACCAGCCUCACUGGGACUGAGACACGGCCCAGACUCCUACGGGAGGCAGCAGUGGGGAAUAUUGGACAAUGGGCGCAAGCYKRWYCCAGCCAUGCCGCGUGAGUGAUGAAGGCCUUAGGGUUGUAAAGCUCUUUUAGCAGGGAAGAUAAUGACGGUACCUGCRGCRRRRGCCCCGGCUAACUUCGUGCCAGCCGCCGCGGKAAUAC